GUGUAAAGGCAUAAGGGAGCUUGACUGCGAGACCCACAAGUCGAGCAGGUACGAAAGUAGGUCUUAGUGAUCCGGUGGUUCUGUAUGGAAGGGCCAUCGCUCAACGGAUAAAAGGUACUCCGGGGAUAACAGGCUGAUACCGCCCAAGAGUUCAUAUCGACGGCGGUGUUUGGCACCUCGAUGUCGGCUCAUCACAUCCUGGGGCUGAAGCCGGUCC
rnacentral:rRNA from 17 species